CUCAGAGAUACUGAGUCUCCCUUUCUGACUAUCCUUAAUGUCAUGUGCAAAAUGUUUCUCUGAGAUAGAGGCUCAGACAAUGCAAGCUCUCUCACAGGAAUUCUUUAAGUUUAAGUUUCAUCUACUUCUCCAAUGGAUGAUGUCCAGAAUGGAUUAGGCCCUGAAUUGACGAAGACUUCAGUCUUUUCUGCAUGAGGAAGUGUAUCUGCCAGAGGGGACCUCAGGAGGUGACCAGCCCACAGGGAACUUGGAGCCUGCAGAGCUGGUGUACUCGUCAUCCAGGACAUACCUGAAAUAACAGGGAGAGUUGUUAAUUUGUCAUAGAAGUAGCUCUAAUUCCAUAAUAUUGCUGUAAGAAUGAACUGUAGAUUUUAUUUAUUUGUCAGGUAUUUCUGCAGUGUGUGAUUAUUUGUAAAAGCUGCCAGAAUCAAGCACAACAUUCAGUCUUUACCUUGACAGUCAAAAGUCAUUGACUUUAAUGGUCCCAUUGGUAUCUACCAAGCAGUUUCUGGCAGCCUGAGAAGAAGAACACAGUAUUUGUUAUUUGAGGUCAGUAUUGUGUAGUGUAGUAUAGGACAGUAGCCUACAGUACCAAAUCAGUAUCAAACCUGCUGAGUCUUUCAAAUCUCUCAAGCUGCGCUUGAUUUAGUUUGAAAUCAACAGUCAGUGGAAUAGCCCCCAAAAGUGCAAACUGCAAAACCUAAGCUAUUUGACUCAUAUCUUAUAAGUACAUCUCUUACCAGGUCUCUGUGGAUGUACUGCUGAGCCUCCAGGUAGGCAAUGCCCUCUGUGACGUCCUUACACUUUUCCAGGGAUAUGUGCUGCUUCAGGCCUUCUCGCAGGUAGCUGACCAGGCAGCCAUUGGAGAGGAACUCUGUGACAAUGUAGAUGGGCCUUUGUUUGGUGCACACACCAUACAGCUUAACCAAGUUCUCGUGGCGGAGCUUCCUGGUUCAAGCAAAAAGAGAUGAGAUUGAACAUGUGUUGAGGGCUAUGUGGGUUAAAUUGAACAACACUGUUGGUGUAUAUGGUGAGAAUUUUGGCAGAGGACAAGGUGGAGCUGUUACGAUAUAUACAGUAUACUGUACCUCUGGAUAUAUUUCUAUCUAAGGCUCUGAAUGUACAGUGCCUUGCGAAAGUAUUCGGCCCCCUUGAACUUUGAGACCUUUUGCCACAUUUCAGGCUUCAAACAUAAAGAUAUAAAACUGUAUUUUU